rnacentral:rRNA from 1 species
GACGAACGCUGGCGGCGUGCUUAACACAUGCAAGUCGAACGGAAAGGCCCUGCUUUUGUGGGGUGCUCGAGUGGCGAACGGGUGAGUAACACGUGAGUAACCUGCCCUUGACUUUGGGAUAACUUCAGGAAACUGGGGCUAAUACCGGAUAGGAGCUCCUGCUGCAUGGUGGGGGUUGGAAAGUUUCGGCGGUUGGGGAUGGACUCGCGGCUUAUCAGCUUGUUGGUGGGGUAGUGGCUUACCAAGGCUUUGACGGGUAGCCGGCCUGGGAGGGUGACCGGCCACAUUGGGACUGAGAUACGGCCCAGAGUCCUACGGGGGGCAGCAGUGGGGAAUAUUGCACAAUGGGCGGAAGCCUGAUGCAGCAACGCCGCGUGCGGGAUGACGGCCUUCGGGUUGUAAACCGCUUUCGCCUGUGACGAAGCGUGAGUGACGGUAAUGGGUAAAGAAGCACCGGCUAACUACGUG